GAUGAAGAACGUAGCGAAAUGCGAUAAGUAAUGUGAAUUGCAGAAUUCAGUGAAUCAUCGAAUCUUUGAACGCACAUUGCGCCCGCCAGUAUUCUGGCGGGCAUGCCUGUCCGAGCGUCAUUUCAACCCUCGAACCCCUCCGGGGGGUCGGCGUUGGGGACCUCGGGAGCCCCUAAGACGGGAUCCUGGCCCCGAAAUACAGUGGCGGUCUCGCCGCAGCCUCUCCUGCGCAGUAGUUUGCACAACUCGCACCGGGAGCGCGGCGCGUCCACGUCCGUAAAACACCCAACUUCUGAAAUGUUGACCUCGGAUCAGGUAGGAAUACCCGCUGAACUUAAGCAUAUCAAUAAGCGGAGGA
rnacentral:misc_RNA from 1 species